GUGAUGAAGUUUUUCAUUCUUUAAAAUAAUUAAAAAACAGUUUUUAAUUUUUUUUAGUUAAAGUUAAAAUACGGUUCUUAUAUUAUUCUAAGAACCACAUCUAAAAAUUUUCAAUAAACAUGCCCUUACGUAACACACGCACGUAUAUCAGCCACACUCAUACGCGCGCACGCGCUCACACACACAUAUAUAUAUAUAUACUGGUUCACGCUUUCGACAAAAUUCAAUGUAUAAUCUUUCCUUUUUUUUUUUUCUUUUAUGGUCGAAGUCACUAUUCUCUCAAGUUUAUAUCUGAACAAAUAUAUAUGCUUAUCUACGUUUCAUAUAUGCUUACGUAUGUGCACAUACACAUACGAAAUACGUAUACAUGUCGUACUUUAUAAACCAACAAUGUGCGGGACAUUCUUUAACAAAAACAAUCUUAGGCAUAUGGAGUCUUCGUGUUGGCGUCAGCGUCACUUCCCACCGUUCUUGUUAUCGCCUUAUAGGUUUGAAAUCGGUGAAAACAAAAUCGUUAUAACAGAUGUUUUUUGAAUUUAUAAUAUGACAUCUUAACAAAAUGAAAUGAGUCCUACUUGAUUAAGUUUGUGAGGAAACCAAUGCAACAUAUUUGUUGAUAUUCUUUAAAUUUUGUAACAUAUUGGUGAUGAUUGGUUCGACCGUGGUUUAAAAUAUUUAACCGUAGAUGUUUAGAUGUAGAUAAAUUGGUUGUAGCUGUAAAGUUGUUACUAUAGACUCUUUUUGCAGAGAUUUUUGCUGUAGUUAAAUUUGU
rnacentral:lncRNA from 1 species